AUUGAACGCUGGCGGCAGGCCUAACACAUGCAAGUCGAGCGGAUGAAGGGAGCUUGCUCCUGGAUUCAGCGGCGGACGGGUGAGUAAUGCCUAGGAAUCUGCCUGGUAGUGGGGGAUAACGUCCGGAAACGGGCGCUAAUACCGCAUACGACCUGAGGGAGAAAGUGGGGGAUCUUCGGACCUCACGCUAUCAGAUGAGCCUAGGUCGGAUUAGCUAGUUGGUGGGGUAAAGGCCUACCAAGGCGACGAUCCGUAACUGAUCUGAGAGGAUGAUCAGUCACACUGGAACUGAGACACGGUCCAGGCUCCUACGGGAGGCAGCAGUGGGGAAUAUUGGACAGUGGGCGAAAGCCUGAUCCAGCCAUGCCGCGUGUGUGAAGAAGGUCUUCGGAUUGUAAAGCACUUUAAGUUGGGAGGAAGGGCAGUAAGUUAAUACCUUGCUGUUUUGACGUUACCAACAGAAUAAGCACCGGCUAACUUCGUG
rnacentral:rRNA from 1 species